GACGAACGCUGGCGGCGUGCUUAACACAUGCAAGUCGAACGGAAAGGCCCUGCUUUUGUGGGGUGCUCGAGUGGCGAAAGGGUGAGUAACACGUGAGUAACCUGCCCUUGACUUUGGGAUAACUUCAGGAAACUGGGGCUAAUACCGGAUAGGAGCUCCUGCUGCAUGGUGGGGGUUGGAAGGUUUCGGCGGUUGGGGAUGGACUCGCGGCUUAUCAGCUUGUUGGUGGGGUAGUGGCUUACCAAGGCUUUGACGGGUAGCCGGCCUGAGAGGGUGACCGGCCACAUUGGGACUGAGAUACGGCCCAGACUCCUACGGGAGGCAGCAGUGGGGAAUAUUGCACAAUGGGCGGAAGCCUGAUGCAGCAACGCCGCGUGCGGGAUGACGGCCUUCGGGUUGUAAACCGCUUUCGCCUGUGACGAAGCGUGAGUGACGGUAAUGGGUAAAGAAGCACCGGCUAACUACGUG
rnacentral:rRNA from 1 species